UACGUAGGGGGCAAGCGUUAUCCGGAUUUACUGGGCGUAAAGCGCGUGUAGGCGGUUGCGCAAGUUGGUUGUGAAAUCUCCCGGCUCAACCGGGAAACUGCAGCCAAAACUGCGCGGCUAGAGUGGCAGAGAGGAAAGUGGAAUUCCCGGUGUAGUAGUGAAAUGCGUAGAUAUCAGGAGGAACACCUGCGGUGUAGACGGCUUACUGGACCAUAACUGACGCUGAGGCACGAAAGCGUGGGUAGCAAACAGG
rnacentral:rRNA from 1 species